UUUUAUUGGGUCUAAAGGGUCUGUAGCCGGCCAAGUAAGUCCCUUGGGAAAUCUGGCAGCUUAACUGUCAGGCUGCUAGGGGAUACUGCUAGGCUUGGGACCGGGAGAGGUGAGAGGUACCUUGGGGGUAGGGGUGAAAUCUUGUGAUCCUCGGGGGACCACCAGUGGCGAAGGCGUCUCACCAGAACGGGUCCGACGGUAAGGGACGAAAGCUAGGGGCACGAACCGGAUUAGAUACCCGGGUAGUCCUAGCCGUAAACGAUGCUCGCUAGGUGUCAGUCACGGUGCGACCGUGAUUGGUGCCGUAGGGAAGCCGUGAAGCGAGCCACCUGGGAAGUAUGGCCGCAAGGCUGAAACUUAAAGGAAUUGGCGGGGGAGCACUACAACGGGUGGAGCCUGCGGUUUAAUUGGAUUCAACGCCGGAAAUCUCACCGGGGGCGACAGCGAUAUGAAGGUCAGGCUGAAGACCUUACCCGAUUAGCUGAGAGGUGGG
rnacentral:rRNA from 1 species